CCCCAUCUGCCCCUGCCCCCGCCCCAUCUACAACGAACCCCGCCCCAUCUACCACUGCCCCGCCCCAUAUAUCACUGACUUGUCAAUCAAACUACUGACUGAUAUUAAAAUGAGAGGAGAGACAGAGAGACUGGAGAGAGACUGGAGAGAGACUGGAGAGAGUGGAGAGAGACUGGAGAGAGACUGGAGAGAGACUGGAGAGACUGGAGAGAGACUGGAGAGAGACUGGAGAGAGACUGGAGAGAGACUGGAGAGAGACUGGAGAGAGACAGCAGCUGGAGAAAGACUGGAGAGAGACUGGAGAGAGACUGGAGAGAGACUGGAGAAAGACUGGAGAGAGACUGGAGAGAGACUGGAGAGAGACUGGAGAGAGACUGGAGAGAGACAGCAGCUGGAGAGAGACUGGAGAGAGACUGGAGAGAGACUGGAGAGAGACUGGAGAGAGACUGGAGAGAGACAGCAGCUGGAGAGAGACUGGAGAAAGACUGGAGAGAGACUGGAGAGAGACUGGAGAGAGACUGGAGAGAGACAGGAGAGAGACUGGAGAGAGACUGGAGAGAGACAGGAGAGAGACUGGAGAGAGACUGGAGAGAGACUGGAGAGAGACUGGAGAGAGACUGGAGAGAGACAGCAGCUGGAGAGAGACUGGAGAAAGACUGGAGAGAGACUGGAGAAAGACUGGAGAGAGACUGGAGAAAGACUGGAGAGAGACUGGAGAAAGACUGGAGAGAGACUGGAGAGAGACUGGAGAGAGACUGGAGAGAGACUGGAGAGAGACUGGAGAGAGACAGAGGAAAAAAUGCCAUCAGGGAGACAUGAGAGGACCAGAGAGCAGAGCAACACUGAUGCCACUCACACCACACAUUCCACUAGGACCUGUGUGUGUGUGUGUGUGUGUGUCAGUCUGUCAGGACAACACGGUAACAGCAGUCUGUCAGGACAACACGGUAACAGCAGUCUGUCAGGACAACACGGUAACAGCAGUCUGUUCUGAUGCUCUGCUUGUGUCUAGAACACAUAUAAAUUCCUUUGCGUUUGUACUGAGUGUCUGAAUAUAUGUUUGUCAGUACUAUCCUACGUAUACUAGUAAACACAAACAGGAUAUUGAAUAUGACUGUUGUAUGAAGACUUUGUAGUGAGGACCUGCAGGGAGGGUAAUAUACUACCACAGAGCAAACUGGCCUAUUAUAUUCUGAUACAUCUCUUCAUUUUUAGAAAGAUGGACUGAUUGACUCGACAGCCCUUCACAACAUCGAAGGUUUUCAGAUUUCUAAUUAUUAAACCUAUAAACAUAUCUGUGGUUUAAUUAUUGGUUUGUUUCUGAAAGUUAGCCGGCUAAACUCAUUGAUCCUGCUUUGUAGUGUUACCCACCCCUCCCUCUGAUAUCUGUCGUGAUGGUUAAAACCAUGUGAUUUAAAC
rnacentral:lncRNA from 1 species